rnacentral:rRNA from 1 species
AACGAACGCUGGCGGCAUGCCUAACACAUGCAAGUCGAACGAGACCUUCGGGUCUAGUGGCGCACGGGUGCGUAACGCGUGGGAACCUGCCCUUAGGUUCGGAAUAACUCCCCGAAAGGGGUGCUAAUACCGGAUAAUGUCUUCGGACCAAAGAUUUAUCGCCUUUGGAUGGGCCCGCGUUGGAUUAGCUAGUUGGUAGGGUAAAAGCCUACCAAGGCGACGAUCCAUAGCUGGUAUGAGAGGAUGAUCAGCCACACUGGGACUGAGACACGGCCCAGACUCCUACGGGAGGCAGCAGUGGGGAAUAUUGGACAGUGGGCGAAAGCCUGAUCCAGCAAUGCCGCGUGAGUGAUGAAGGCCUUAGGGUUGAAAAGCUCUUUUACCCGGGAUGAUAAUGACAGUACCGGGAGAAUAAGCUCCGGCUAACUCCGUG